rnacentral:ribozyme from 1 species
UAUCAUCGACGAAUGAUGCAAGCACUGAGCUCGCGUUGGCUGCCCUCACGCGCGCAGUCACGCGUCGCGAC